rnacentral:rRNA from 1 species
UGGGGAAUCUUGCACAAUGGGGGAAACCCUGAUGCAGCGACGCCGCGUGAACGAUGAAGCCCUUCGGGGUGUAAAGUUCUUUCGACAGGAACGAUAAUGACGGUACCUGGAGAAGAAGCUGCGGCUAACUACGUGCCAGCAGCCGCGGUAAUACGUAGGCAGCGAGCGUUGUUCGGAGUUACUGGGCGUAAAGAGUGCGUAGGCGGCGAGCCAAGUUUGGUGUGACAUCUCCCGGCUUAACCGGGAGGGUGCGCCGAAAACUGGUUCGCUGGAGUAUGGGAGAGGAAAGCGGAAUUCCUGGUGUAGCGGUGAAAUGCGUAGAUAUCAGGAGGAACACCUGCGGUGUAGACAGCUUUCUGGACCAAAACUGACGCUGAGGCACGAAAGCGUGGGUAGCAAACA